GUAGGUAUAGCUCAGUGGUGGGGUGCGUGCUUAGCAUGCAUGGGGUCCUGGGUUCAAUUCCCAGUACCUCCA
rnacentral:tRNA from 1 species